UACGGGGGGGGCAAGCGUUGUUCGGAAUUACUGGGCGUAAAGGGCUCGUAGGCGGCCAACUAAGUCAGACGUGAAAUCCCUCGGCUUAACCGGGGAACUGCAUCCGAUACUGGAUGGCUUGAAUCCGGGAGAGGGAUGCGGAAUUCCAGGUGUAGCGGUGAAAUGCGUAGAUAUCUGGAGGAACACCGGUGGCGAAGGCGGCAUCCUGGACCGGCAUUGACGCUGAGGAGCGAAAGCCAGGGGAGCAAACGGG
rnacentral:rRNA from 1 species